AUGGCAGGCGUGAGCCACUGUGUCUGGGCUUGUAACAAUCAUCUGUCACCUAUCUGUCUUCUGUCCAUCAUUUAUUAUCUAUCCAUCCGUCCAUCCAUCCAUCCAUCACCUACCAUCUAUUCACUAUCCAUCCUUCUCACCCAUGCAUCCAUCCAUCCACCUACCCAUCCACCAUCUACCAUCUAUUCACCCAUCCAUCCUUCUCACCCAUCCAUCCUUCUCACCCAUGCAUCCAUCCAUCCAUCUACCCAUCCACCAUCUACCAUCUAUUCACCCAUACAUCCUUCUCACACAUGCAUCCAUCCAUCCACCUACCCAUCCAUCACCUACCAUCUAUUCACCCAUUCAUCCUUCUCACCCAUGCAUCCAUCCAUCCAUCCAUCUACCUACCCAUCCAUCUAUCUAUCUCAUCCAUCCAUCCACCCAUCAUCCAUCCAUCAUCUAUCAUCUAUACACUCAUCCAUCUUUCUCACCCAUGCAUCCAUCCAUCCAUCUACCCAUCAUCUACCAUCCAUUCACCCAUCCAUCCUUCUCACCCAUGCAUCCAUCCAUCCAUCUACCCAUCAUCUACCAUCUAUUCACCCAUCCAUCCUUCUCACCCAUGCAUCCAUCCAUCCACCUACCCAUCCAUCAUCUACCAUCUAUUCACCCAUCCAUCCUUCUCACCCAUGCAUCCAUCCAUCCACCUACCCAUCCACCAUCUACCAUCUAUUCACCCAUCCAUCCUUCUCACCCAUGCAUCCAUCCAUCCAUCCAUCUACCCAUCCAUCACCUACCAUCUAUUCACCCAUCCAUCCUUCUCACCCAUGCAUCCAUCCAUCCACCUACCCAUCCACCAUCUACCAUCUAUUCACCCAUCCAUCCUUCUCACCCAUGCAUCCAUCCAUCCACCCACCUACCCAUCCAUCCAUCCAUCCACCCAUCAUCCAUCCAUCUACCCAUCCAUCAUCUAUUCACCCAUCCAUCCAUUUCACCCAUCCAUCCACCCAUCAACCCAUCCUUCUCACCCAAUGCAUUCAUCCAUCCAUCUACCUAUCCAUCAUCUACCAUCUAUUCACCCAUCCAUCCUUCUCACCCAUCUACCCAUCCAUAAUCUACCAUCUGUUCACCCAUCCAUCCUUCUCACCCAUGCAUCCAUCCAUCCACCUACCCAUCCAUCCAUCCAUCUACCCAUCCAUUAUCUACCAUCUAUUUACCCAUCCAUCCUUCUCACCCAUACAUCCAUCUAACUACCCAUCCAUCUGCCUAUGCACACCCAGCAUCUAUUCAUCCAUCCAUCCUUCUCAUCCUUGCAUCCAUGUAUCCAUCCGUCCAUCUGUCUCAUCCAUCCAUCUACCCAUCAUCUAA
rnacentral:lncRNA from 1 species